UUGAUGUGCACCAUGGCCCUGGCCCUGCUUCUCCUUGCGAUCUUCAGUUACAGCUCAGGUGUCCGUUCACGGCCCCCUUGGACUCAGCCUGCCUCAGCGUCUGUGGCCCCAGGACAAACCACAAAACUCUCCUGCACUCUCAACAAUGAUGGCAACACCAUUUCCUGGUAUCAGCAGAGACCCGGACAAGCCCCUCAAUUAAUCCUCUUUGAUGCCAGCAGCAGGGGAGAAGGGAUCCCAGAUCGGUUCACUGGUUCCUGGUCUGGGAACAUGGGCUAUUUAACCAUCACCAACAUCCAGGCUGAAGAUGAGGCGAAUUAUUACUGUGGCAAGUGGUCUAGCUCUGACAGCAUGUUUCACGGUGGUAAAGUCUGA